AUUGAACGCUGGCGGCAGGCCUAACACAUGCAAGUCGCGCGGCUGCAGGGGGCUUGCUCCUGGAUUCCGAGGCGGACGGGUGAGUGAUGCCUAGGAACCUGCCUAGUAGUGGGGGCUAACGUCCGGAACCGGGCGCUAAUACCGCAUACGUCCUGAGGGGGACAGUGGGGGAUCCUCGGACCUCACGCUAUCAGAUGAGCCUAGGUCGGAUUAGCUAGUUGGUGGGGUAACGGCCUACCAAGGCGACGAUCCGUAACUGGUCUGUGAGGAUGAUCAGUCACACUGGAACUGAGACACGGUCCAGACUCCUACGGGAGGCAGCAGUGGGGAAUAGUGGACAAGGGGCGAAAGCCUGAUCCAGCCAUGCCGCGUGUGUGAAGAAGGUCUGCGGAUUGGAAAUCACUUUAACUUGGGAGGAAGGGCAGUAAGUUAAUACCGUGCUGUUUUGACGUUACCAACAGAAUAAGCACCGGCUAACUUCGUG
rnacentral:rRNA from 1 species